ACUCCUGCGGGAGGCAGCAGUGGGGAAUUUUGGACAAUGGGCGAAAGCCUGAUCCAGCAAUGCCGCGUGAGUGAAGAAGGCCUUCGGGUUGUAAAGCUCUUUUGUCAGGGAAGAAACGGUGAAAGCUAAUAUCUUUUGCUAAUGACGGUACCUGAAGAAUAAGCACCGGCUAACUACGUGCCAGCAGCCGCGGUAAUACGUAGGGUGCAAGCGUUAAUCGGAAUUACUGGGCGUAAAGCGUGCGCAGGCGGUUUUGUAAGUCUGAUGUGAAAUCCCCGGGCUCAACCUGGGAAUUGCAUUGGAGACUGCAAGGCUAGAAUCUGGCAGAGGGGGGUAGAAUUCCACGUGUAGCAGUGAAAUGCGUAGAUAUGUGGAGGAACACCGAUGGCGAAGGCAGCCCCCUGGGUCAAGAUUGACGCUCAUGCACGAAAGCGUGGGGAGCAAACAGGAUUAGAUACCCCGGUAGUCCCAUG
rnacentral:rRNA from 1 species